rnacentral:rRNA from 1 species
UACAGAGGGUGCAAGCGUUAAUCGGAAUUACUGGGCGUAAAGCGUGCGUAGACGGUUAUGUAAGUCAGGUGUGAAAGCCCCGGGCUCAACCUGGGAAUUGCAUUUGAGACUGCAUAGCUAGGGUGCGGAAGGGGGAAGCGGAAUUUCCGGUGUAGCGGUGAAAUGCGUAGAUAUCAGGAGGAACACCGGUGGCGAAGGCGGAUCUCUGGGCCGUAACUGACGCUGAGGAGCGAAAGCAUGGGGAGCGAACAGG